rnacentral:misc_RNA from 1 species
UGGAUGGCUUCCACUUGUAUUUGCUAGUUAUUUCUUUUGUGUGAUGUACAUUUAGAUCUAUGAGAGUGUGCUGAAAUACCAGAGUGAGGUAAAGGGAGUAGAUUUCUAUGGACUUCAUGCAUUAGCUUGGUUUCAUCCUGGAACUGUUUAAGAGUUCCUGGAAUUGGAUUUGUACAAUGAGCUUGUCCAUUGUGUUCCUUCAUCUUGGGGCAGUUCCUACUGAGCCUUCCAGCAAUCCACUAGUAUUUGUUUGCAUCAAGUAUG